GGGCUAAUGGUCUAGUGGUAUGAUUUCUGUUUUGCAAUGCUUCAUUGGAUCUACAGACGGUCCCGCGUUCAAUCCGCGGUUAGUCCA